CAGAUGGAAUAAGUUGGAGAAUUCUGGGCUCCUGAAGCUUGAUCCAGUCGCCAGGGCUGGAAGCACUGUGUUAGGUGGCUGCAGGAAGAAGCAAGGAACUCAAGAGUGAUCUGGCAACCUACAAAAGAAAGCAAAAACAUAGUAUCUUGUUUCUCGGGCUAAUCAACAUUAAUAGUAACUACAUCUUUCUACUGUUUUAGUUUUAACAUCAUGACAAGUGAAAAUAGAUAGCAUAUUUUUGCAGGUGUCUUCUGUUUGAGUUGGAAGAAGUGUGCUUUCAGCAUUUCCCCCAAGUUUUGCCUUUUAGUUGGCUUACUGUUUCUUAGGCAGUGGUCUCAGAAGGAUUGAAGGAUUACAAACAUAGAUUUAUUUCUCAAGUCAAGUUCUGAGUUGUGGUUGCUGAAAAACAACUCUAUAAUGGCAUUUUGUUAAUAAAAUUUUAACCACAAUAAACUGUCACCUUAUUCCAGUUAGAAUGGCUAUUAUCAAAAAGCCAAAAGAUAACAAGUGUUAUCGAGGAUGUGGAGAAAAGGGAACCCUUAUGCCCUGUUGGUGUUGGUGGGAAUAUAAAUUAGUAGUCAUUAUGGAAAACCAUCUGUAGGUUCCUAAAAAAAUUAAAAAUAGGACUACCAUAUGAUCGAGCAAUCCCACUACUGGAUAUCUGUCCAGAGAAAAUGAAAUGAGUAUAUCAAAGAGAUAGCUGCACUCCCAUGUAUAUUGCAGCACUAUUCAUAAUACUCAAGAUUUGGAGUCAACCUCUUGUUCAUCAAUGAAUGAAUGGAUAAAGUGUGAUAUAUAUGUAUUACAUAUAUAAUAUAUAAUUAUAUGUAAUAUAUAUAAUAGAAUACUAUUGUCAUAAAAAGGAUGAAAUCCUGUUACUUGCCACAACAUGGAUGAACCUGGAAGACAUUAUAUUAAGUGAAAUAAGCCAGACACAGACAAAUACUGCAAGCUCUCACUCAUGUGGAAUUUAAAAAGCUGAUCUCAUAGAAAUAUAAAAUAGAACAGUAGUUACCAGGGACUGGGGAGGGGAGGGAGGAGGGUAUCAUGGAGACAGAUUGGUCAGUGGGGCCGGGCGCGGUGGCUCACGCCUGUAAUCCCAGCUCUCAGGGAGGCAAGAGGCGGGAGGAUAGCUUGAGCCCAGGAGUUUGAGACCUGCCUGGGCAAUAUAGCGAGACCCCGUUCUCCCGAAAAAGAAAAAAAAAAAGA